rnacentral:rRNA from 1 species
UUGGAGGGCAAGUCUGGUGCCAGCAGCCGCGGUAAUUCCAGCUCCAAUAGCGUAUAUUAAAGUUGUUGCAGUUAAAAAGCUCGUAGUUGAAUUUCGGAAUCAAUAUGUUGGUCGUGCCAUUGGUACGUACUGGCAUUAUUGGUUUCUACCUUCUGAAGAACCUCGAUGUCAUUAAUUUGGUGUCUUGGGGAAUCAGGACUGUUACUUUGAAAAAAUUAGAGUGUUUAAAGCAGGCUCGCGCUUGAAUACAUUAGCAUGGAAUAAUGAAAUAGGACGUUUGAUUCUAUUUUGUUGGUUUCUAAGAUCGACGUAAUGAUUAAUAGGGAUAGUUGGGGGCAUUAGUAUUCAAUUGUCAGAGGUGAAAUUCUUGGAUUUAUUGAAGACUAACUACUGCGAAAGCAUUUGCCAAGGAUGUUUUCAUUAAUCAAGAACGAAAGUUAGGGGAUCGAAGACGAUCAGAUACCGUCGUAGUCUUAACCAUAAACUAUGCCGACUAGGGAUCGGAUGAUGUUAAUUUUUUAAUGACUCAUUCGGCACCUUACGGGAAAC